AGAGUUUGAUCAUGGCUCAGGACGAACGCUGGCGGCGUGCCUAAUACAUGCAAGUCGAACGAGAAUUUCUUACACCGAGUGCUUGCACUCACCGUAAGAAAUUCGAGUGGCGGACGGGUGAGUAACACGUGGGUAACCUGCCCAAAAGAAGGGGAUAACAUUUGGAAACAAAUGCUAAUACCGUAUAACCAUGAUGACCGCAUGGUCAUUAUGUAAAAGGUGGUUUUGCUAUCGCUUUUGGAUGGACCCGCGGCGUAUUAACUAGUUGGUAGGGUAACGGCCUACCGAGGUGAUGAUACGUAGCCGAGUUGAGAGACUGAUCGGCCACAAUGGGACUGAGACACGGCCCAUACUCCUACGGGAGGCAGCAGUAGGGAAUCUUCCACAAUGGGCGCAAGCCUGAUGGAGCAACGCCGCGUGAAUGAAGAAGGUCUUCGGAUCGUAAAAUUCUGUUGUUAGAGAAGAAUAUGAGUAAUAGUAACUGAUUAUUCACUGACGGUAUCUAACCAGCAAGUCACGGCUAACUACGUGCCAGCAGCCGCGGUAAUACGUAGGUGGCAAGCGUUGUCCGGAUUUAUUGGGCGUAAAGGGAACGCAGGCGGUUUUUUAAGUCUGAUGUGAAAGCCUUCGGCUUAACCGGAGAUGUGCAUUGGAAACUGGAAGACUUGAGUGCAGAAGUGGAGAGUGGAACUCCAUGUGUAGCGGUGAAAUGCGUAGAUAUAUGGAAGAACACCAGUGGCGAAAGCGGCUCUCUGGUCUGUAACUGACGCUGAGGUUCGAAAGCAUGGGUAGCGAACAGGAUUAGAUACCCUGGUAGUCC
rnacentral:rRNA from 1 species